rnacentral:lncRNA from 1 species
GGGAGAGGCUGAAUUCCAAAGACAGACUUGCUUCUGUACUCUGAGUGAUACUUCCAGAGCUGUUGAUCUGUUGAUGGAUGCCUCACUGAGAAAGAUCAUACCAUUGUGGCCUUCCCUGCUAACUUUUCAUUUUGAACUGAGAGCUUGUGGCCAUGAAGUGGACUCAGAAGGCUAAAACUGGAUCUUUCUAUUUGGAAACAACAGCUGGAUGUAGGGAUGUAAAAGCUCACGCCAGGCCUCCCAGAUGUUUUUCAGACUGAACCUAUCCAGAAUUGUGAUUCAUGACUCACCAGAUCCUGUGGCCCCCCUAUCCAGGGGUGCACUCAGCACAUGAGGACGCCUGUGAUUCUGCCCCUAUGAGUUCAUCCCCAACCAGUCAGCAAUACCCAUUCCUUAACCCCCUGCCUGGCAAACUGUCUGGGAGACUGAUUUGAGUGAUAACUCCAAUUCUCUUGUGUGGGCCAGCCACAUAUCAAUAAAACUCUUUCUCUACUGCAAUGCCAUGGUCUCAGUGGAUUGAUUUUGUCUGUACACUGGGGCAGGAAGAACCCAUCAGGG